AGCCCCAAAAAAACAAAAACCUAACUGAGCUCCUCUAAACAUUAAUCAAUCUGUUAUCAAAAGACAAUGGAAAAUAUCUCAUUUAGAAUAUAUUUACUCAACUUCAUUAAAAAAAAAAAAUCCGCACUGAAAAAGCUCUCACCAAACUCUUACCUGACUGAAUACCUCUCUCUGAUCUCUUAGGAGACCAUAUUCUUGAUCUUAACCCUAAAGGAGUAUGUUCACCUUUCUGUGUGUGUACAGUGUUUCCUUUCACUAAAUAUUAUUGCAAGAAAAGCUCUUCCUUCUUUUGGCCUGGGCCUUAUAUCUGUCUCUUAUGUAACUAAAGAUUUGUUGAAAUUGACAAAUCCUGCUGUAAAUAUUACCACUGUGGGCACUAGGAUAUUUUUCAAAGAAAUUAGGUAGAAUUCAAUAUGUUAAAACAUGCAGUGUAAACAUCAGUGGACAAAUGGUUUUACUUCCUUCUAAAUUAUUUCCUGAAGACAAGGAUUUCUUUGGCAUUCCCACUUUCCCUUACACUGGUUACCAUUUUGUCCCUUGUAUUAUGUGGCUAUGUGAGUAUGUAUCUGAUCUCCUUAAGGAUGUAGUAAAAAAUGCCUGUAUGGCUGGGGAGUCAGACAGUUCUGGGUUCCAGUCACAACUCUACCUUUUGAUAGUCAUAUAAUCUUUUUUUUUUUUUUUUAAAGGGCUGUUGCACCCGCAACAUAUGGAGGUUCCCAGGCUAGGGGUCGAAUCAGAGCUACAGCUGCCGGCCUACACCCCACAUCCACAGCACAACGCAGGAUCCCAGCCUCGUCUGCGAGGUACACCACAGCUCAUGGCAACUCGGAAUCCCUAACCCACUGAGCAAGGCCAGGGAUCGAACCUGCAAUGCCCUCAUGGUUCCUAGUCAGAUGCGUCAACCACUGCGCCAUGAAGGGAACUCCAAAUGGCAAUAUUUUAAAAUGGUUUGGGCUGGAGAAGCUUCAAAUGAACGGGCUGAAAAUGUUUGGUGUUUGGAGUUGCCUAAAAUCCAGUUUAUAUAUUCAUUCACUCAGUCAGUGUUUAUUGGGCACCUACUAUGUACCAGGGACUGUUUCAGGGGCUAUGCAUUCUACAAAGAAAAAAAGUGAAUAAAGUCAGUGAUCUCCACUCCAAUCUCAUUUAAUGUGUGUGGUUGCUGAGAUCUUGAAGAAAGAGGUUAAUUACCAAAAUCAUUCAGCUUGUUAAGUAACAGAGCCAAUCAUUUAUUUGCACAGCAAUUAUGAUUUCUUAUGUUUUGUAUUAAUAGCCAUUUAAACCAUGGGAACAUCCUGGAAAUUACAGAAUUGUGAUAUCUAAAUAACAUCUCCAAACUGUAUCUACAUUGAGGAAGCUGAGUCCUGAUUUUUGUUGUAGAAAAUAUGAUCACCUGCUUUUUCCGUCUCAUAUGUAACUCCUUCAUAGACCUCAUUAUCUCUUACAUUUGUGUUCAUUCUUAAAUGAAUAAACAUUAUUAAAAAAGGACUAGAAUUUUGCAUAGCAAAGGAAACCAAAAAGAAAACAAAAA
rnacentral:lncRNA from 1 species